GUGGCAUAAUGGUUAGAGCGUCCGCCUCGGAUUCGAGAGGUUGUGGGUUCGAACCCCGGCCAAGUCA